rnacentral:misc_RNA from 1 species
UCCGGCUUAUCACCGGCAGUUUCCUCAGAGUGCCCACCAUAACGUGCUGGCAACAGAGGACGAGGGUUGCGCUCGUUGCGGGACUUAACCCAACAUCUCACGACACGAGCUGACGACAGCCAUGCAGCACCUGUGCAUCUCCCAGCCGAACUGAAGGAACUCCUUUCAGAGUCCCAUAGAGAGCAUGUCAAACCCUGGUAAGGUUCUUCGCGUUGCCUCGAAUUAAACCACAUGUUCCACCGCUUGUGCGGGUCCCCGUCAAUUUCUUUGAGUUUUAAUCUUGCGACCGUACUCCCCAGGCGGGGUGCUUAACGCGUUAACUACGCCACAGAAAGGUAACCUUCCUACGGCUAGCACCCAUCGUUUACGGCGUGGACUAC